ensembl:misc_RNA Metazoa_SRP Metazoan signal recognition particle RNA
GCCGGGUAUGGUGGCUCAUGCCUGUAAUCCCAGCACUUGGGAGGCCGAGGCAGGUGGAUCACCUGAGGUCAGGAGUUUGAGACCAGCCUGACCUACAUGGUGAAACCCCGUCUCUA